rnacentral:lncRNA from 1 species
AUAUUUUUAAUUUAUCAUAUAUUUUUUUCUUUAUGUAUUUGCUAUGAAUGUGAUAUUUUUAAUUUAUUAUAUGUUUUUUCUCUUUAUGUAUAUGAUAUAACUGUGAUUUAUUUUAUAAAGUGAUAACACGAGACCUAAACAGUGUAGAUAUUUCCAGCAUUAUUUUGUUUUCAGAUUUACUUCAGGGUUGUUACUGUCUCACAUACAAAUUAUGCAUAAAAUUGAAAUAAUUAGACUUCAUCAACUCCUUGUAUUAGGAUUUAUUUCAUAUUGUCUCUUGCAAUUGAUCUCAUUUUCAUGUUUCAAUGACUUUAUAGAUAAUCAGCAGAUUUUUUUGCCCAGCCAUGAUGGUAUUAAGUAUUGUCUGUCUGUCCAAACAUCCCAACAUUGGUUUCUGUUCUCUUACUUUAGUUUCCCUCAACCAAAUGUUAUGAACAUAUACAUAAUGCUUAUUACCACACAACAAGUUAGAAUUCUGGUGGCGUUAUUUUAAUCAUUCUUUAUGAUCUAGAAUUAUGCCCCUUUACAAAAUACUUAUUACCACAAACUUCAGAUCAAGUACAAAUUUGGGAAGCGUCACUUUUACCUUUUAAGUUAUGCCCCUUUAUAACUUCAUAUGAUAUGUAAGCAGGGACAUCAUCUGUGUCCCAUGGACACAUUCCCUAUUUAUUUAAUCAUUAUUUACUAUGAAUACUAUUAGUCAUAGGUCAGCUAUGUUGGUUUCAAUGUGAAUUGUAUGGUCAAUCUGACAGGUGGGAGAUGACCUGGAUCUUAUUUUCAAUUAAUCGAAAUUCCCUUUUUCUUGAUAGUUUUACUGGAAUAUUUGGUUGAUAUCAAUCAUUAUUAGUUUACAUAAACAUCUCACUAGUUACAUUUGACCCUGAGCUUAUUUUGUAUGUUUACAUUAACCAAUAUAAUGUCAUUUUGAUACUGUAAGUAAGACCCUGUUUUUAUAGAAUUCCCAUAAAUUAUUCCCGAUGGUCUGAAUGGGGUAUACAUAAUAGAAUAUAGCAGCCUGAUAUUACAUAAAAAUGGGCCAAAAAAAAUAAAGAAUAGAUAAAUGUAGGCCAAAAAACAAAGAAUAAGGGAUUAUUUGUACAAUCUAUAUAGAAUAGACAAAAUUGACUUAAAAAAUUAAAGAAUAUAGAUUUGAAGGACCCCCACCUUGACCCUCAUUUAUGGUCAAUUAUAGUACCAGUAUGUCCACACUCGUUAUAAUAUUUAAGUAUCAUGCACUUGAAGUUUUUUGGUUGGUAACUUUGUCACUGAUAUAAUGCUAAUUUUAUUACCGUACCACAAAUGUAAUUUAAUUCUUUUUACACUCGUGUUGUGGAAUGAUGUCAUAUUUUUCAUUUUUUCUGCAAACACAGAUUUUUUUUAUGCCAUAAAUGUUUUAUAGUUUUCUCAUACAGUAUGAGGUAUUUACAACCAUCUACAAAGGAGUAGUUCCAGUAAGACCCCUUUUUGGCCCCAAAAUAUAGCAGUUUUACAAAAUUGAAAAAAUGUAAAUUUUUAGUUAUUUAUUGGACAGUAGAAUGCUUCUGCUACAUAAAUAUGGGCUGUUUUUGACAAAACAAUGCACAUAUAUCAGGUACUAGCACCAUUAAGUCAUGCUAAAUUACUGAAAUCUUCACAAUUCUAGCAUUUUAGUUGAAUUUUAGUUGGUUUUUGUGUAAAACAGAAGUGGC